AGGGCGAUCUGAGUGAACAUGC
rnacentral:miRNA from 1 species